GGUAGACAAGCAUUCAUCAAAUGAUGAUGGAUUUUCAGCAAAUACAGCCAUUUAUAAGGGAAACAAGGUUCAUUUUAAAACACUGGAAGUAAAACGCUUGAAUAUUGACAGGAAAAUGAUUCUAGAAAUGAUUGAGAUGAGGGAUUUCAACUGCAGUAAUCUAACAAAAUUCAUCGGAUUGCACACCAAACACCCGCAUAUCAUGAUAAUAACAGAAUACUGUUCUAGGGGA